AUUGAACGCUGGCGGCAGGCCUAACACAUGCAAGUCGAACGAGUGGCGGACGGGUGAGUAAUGUCUGGGAAACUGCCCGAUGGAGGGGGAUAACUACUGGAAACGGUAGCUAAUACCGCAUACCAUCGGAUGUGCCCAGAUGGGAGGCUGUAGUAGGUGGGGUAACGGCUCACCUAGGCGACGCUCCCUACCUGGUCUGAGAGGAUGACCAGCCACACUGGACCUGAGACACGGUCCAGACUCCUACGGGAGGCAGCAGGGGGGAAUAUUGCACAAUGGGCGCAAGCCUGAUGCAGCCAUGCCGCGUGUAUGAAGAAGGCCUUCGGGUUGUAAAGUACUUUCAGCGAGGAGGCGUUACUCGCCGAAGAAGCACCGGCUAACUCCGUGCCAGCAGCCGCGGUAAUAC
rnacentral:rRNA from 1 species